GGCCGCGGGAAUUCGAUUCAGGCCUAACACAUGCAAGUCGAGCGGUAGAGAGAAGCUUGCUUCUCUUGAGAGCGGCGGACGGGUGAGUAAUGCCUAGGAAUCUGCCUGGUAGUGGGGGAUAACGUUCGGAAACGGACGCUAAUACCGCAUACGUCCUACGGGAGAAAGCAGGGGACCUUCGGGCCUUGCGCUAUCAGAUGAGCCUAGGUCGGAUUAGCUAGUUGGUGAGGUAAUGGCUCACCAAGGCGACGAUCCGUAACUGGUCUGAGAGGAUGAUCAGUCACACUGGAACUGAGACACGGUCCAGACUCCUACGGGAGGCAGCAGUGGGGAAUAUUGGACAAUGGGCGAAAGCCUGAUCCAGAAAGGCCGCGUGUGUGAAGAAGGUCUUCGGAUUGUAAAGCAAGGGAAGUUGGGAGGAAGGGCAGUUACCUAAUACGUGAUUGUUUGACGUACCGACAGA
rnacentral:rRNA from 1 species